AUUCCAGACUCCUACGGGAGGCAGCAGUGAGGAAUAUUGGUCAAUGGGCGGAAGCCUGAACCAGCCAAGUCGCGUGAGGGAAGAAGGCCCUGCGGGUCGCAGACCUCUUUGGACGGGGAGCAAGGCCGCCGACGUGUCGGCGGAAGGAGAGUACCCGUAGAACAAGCAUCGGCUAACUCCGUGCCAGCAGCCGCGGUAAUACGGAGGAUGCGAGCGUUAUCCGGAUUUAUUGGGUUUAAAGGGUGCGCAGGCGGAAGCGGCAAGCCAGCGGUAAAAUUGCGGGGCUCAACCUCGCCGAGCCGUUGAAACUGCUCUUCUAGAGUGGGCGAGAAGUAUGCGGAAUGCGUGGUGUAGCGGUGAAAUGCAUAGAUAUCACGCAGAACUCCGAUUGCGAAGGCAGCGUACCGGCGCCCAACUGACGCUGAAGCACGAAGGCGUGGGUAUCGAACAGGAUUAGAUACCCGUGUA
rnacentral:rRNA from 1 species